ensembl:lncRNA
GAAAUAUCGUACGAAAGUGAUCGGUUACUCUAACCACGAUGAAGAGUAUUGAUGUUCCCUUCUGAGCGCGAAGCGGGUAGCGAGUAAUGAUUGAUUUCAUCCGCUCGUUGUCAUUGAUGACCGUUCCUUGCUCCCUCGUGGAGCCUGGAGGUAGGGAACAUGAUCAGAGUGGUUAGAUCUAGAUUACGGUCAAAAUAAAUCAAAGCUAUACCGUCGUGACGUUUCAUUUGGUAUCUUAGGGACUGAUAGCUUUUUAAUCUAGUAUAAAUAGUUACUUCAUUCUAUGUACACGUGUCGGUAAUGUGAGGUUAACCGUAUGCAGGUUUACAAUAGGUUUUCCAGCCAGAAAGAGACCGUAACCACAUUUUUUGACAAACCAGUUACAGUAUAAUGAAUGCCUAAUUACACACGCGGAAUCUGGAAUGCCUGUACAAUAACAGCACAAUAUAGCAGUAGCUUAUGCAUCUGAAUUGCGUGUGCUAUUUAAUUCCUCGUAGGAUUUAAUACAUAGGUAGCAUUCCGGACACGAUUUAUAUUAUGUCACCCUAUGUUGCACAUUUCAUAAACAAUAUCACUCAUUAUAACGUUCAUACACAACGACGAUAAGGAAACUAACGGAUAAAAAGUAUACCA